AAUGCGAUAAGUAAUGUGAAUUGCAGAAUUCAGUGAAUCAUCGAAUCUUUGAACGCACCUUGCGCUCCUUGGUAUUCCUUGGAGCAUGCCUGUUUGAGUAUCAUGAAAUCUUCAAAGUAAAUCUUUUGUUAACUCAAUUGGUUUCUACUUUGGUAUUGGAGGUCUUUGCAGCUUCACACCUGCUCCUCUUUGUUCAUUAGCUGGAUCUCAGUGUUAUGCUUGGUUCCACUCGGCGUGAUAAGUUAUCUAUCGCUGAGGACACUGUAAAAGGUGGUCAAGGUAAAUGCAGAUGAACCGCUUCUAAUAGUCCAUUGACUUGGACAAUACUUUUAUGAUCUGAUCUCAAAUCAGGUAGGACUACCCGCUGAACUUAAGC
rnacentral:misc_RNA from 1 species